rnacentral:ncRNA from 1 species
UUAACGAGGAAAGAAGAUCCUUGUUCUGACAUUAUAAGAAGAUAUAAAAACAGUAGUAUAAGUAAGAUAUGAUAACAUCAUUGGUGAAAUAUCGUUUUCAUUUUUUUAGUUACUCGAUUGGGUGGAGCAUGUAUUCUAGAGCCAAGCGCGGACUUUAACUUUAACUAGGAUGGUACAUCUGUCAAAAAAUAAGACCAGUAAAGAAUACAGAAACCUCGCAUAGAGCAUAAAAGCAAAAGCUGAUUUAAUCUUGAUGUUUAAUACCUAUAAAAACUGCGAAAGAACGGCCUAUCGAUUCUUUUGGCUUAAACGAUUUUCAACAAGAGAUGUCAAAAUUUUAUUGGAUACCAUAAGGAUAAAAAGGAUAAGAUUUCAUAGCGACAUCGUUUUUUAAUCCUUCGAAGUCGGCUUUUUCUAUCAUUGCCAAGUAUGGGAUUUAUCUAAGAACGUGAGCUAAGUCUAUUGAUGAUUAAUUGUUGCAAUAGUAAUCCUGCUGA